GUUCGCACCGUGGUGGGCUGACAGGCCGCCCCGGCACCGGAGGAGCAGGCGGCUGUGUAACCGCGUGUGACCCUGCAGGUGUUCCGCGGUGGUGAGAGAGGGCGGGGGUCGGCUCACGGGCACCCCCGUGAGAGCUCCCUCACAGCCCCCAGCUCCACUGCGGGACACAACCCAGUCCCCCCAGUUUAAGAAAGCCAGUGGGUCGCUGGGCUCCUAUUCCCUCAGCCCAACAGGAGGGCCAAGGGCUCUUCCCAUGCCCCUCCGCCCAAUAUACACCUGCUUUUAAUAACCCACCUCUGCUUCCGUGUGCGGCCUUUGCCACCCGCCCGCGAUGACGGCGUCCAGGGAACGCGCAUCGUGCCCAGCUGCCCGUUUGCCUCCUGGGCAGCCCCCUCCCGUGCCACUGCUGUCCAUGCUGCGCUCACCUGGGACCUGACGUCCCAAUUUACACAUCUCUCCAGACACCACAUCAGGAAUUACUUUUACUACUUCCAGGUAACAUAUAAAGAUCAUCAAUAUUGUCAGGGCAAGAAGGGACACCCGCGUGACUUCACUAAACAUACCCUCAGCAGUUCUCCAUUGCAGAUUAAGGGAGCCGUUGACUGUUACGUCUCAUUGCGUGCAAACCCAGCAGUGACCAAACAAGGGCCACAUCCACCUGGCAGUGCAUCCCAUCACCCCAGCAGCACGCUCAACUUCCCUUGCCGGUUCCAGUGACCCCACAGCUCCAGGGUGAGUCAGCCCAGCACAGGGAUCCAGCAGGAAACUCUGCCAAUAAUCAAAAGAAAAGGCAUAGUUUUUUGUUAGCCCAGGGAGUUGAACUGAUUCACUGGGCAGACAUGUGACUACUAUGCAAGGGAAUGAGAGGAAAAGAAAAGGAGAAACAAAACUGCCCCUUUUUGGCAGCCACCCACAGAUCAGGCAUAAUACUGAGCUGCUCUGACUCAAAUCAGAACGGUUGCCUCCCUCUACUAAAAAAAAAAAAUAAAUUAAAACCAUCUAUUUUCUGUUAAUGCAUUAACUCUGGUACUGUCACAGUUCAAUUCUGUGUUGAUUGCAUACUUCAUCGGCCUCCUUACUGCUUUUGCCAAAGCUUUGGUUCCCGCUUACCUAGGACACAUCAGUUACUGGCACGUAUGUAAUGAUUCAACAGUUACUUCCCCUGAUUCUCUGGAAAUUCAGUGAUGCAGUAUUUGCUAAGUCAGUACUAUGGGUUUGGUGAUCUCAGGCAGCUGUUAAGAAGACUUUCGCAUGUAAUUUUUAAAGAUGAGCAUUAACCAGUCAUUUUCAUUCACUCCGGCUACACAUGGAAAACAGAAAUACCUUCAUGUCCUCUUCCAAAUGAAGAACAGAAAAAUUUACUGAAUAAUUUCAGCGUUUUUUUUCACUGAAUUGUUGCUGUCUUUGUCUAACAUCCAACCUAAAUCACUGGUACAAUUUUCUUUGUAUCUCAAGGAAAUAGCACUGCAUGGUGAUCAAUGGUAUUGGCCAUAUAUGUAUUUUCAUUGAAUUUCAUUCAUUACCCUUGUUUGCAAACUGUUGAUCUACCCAUUGCUAACAGCUUGCCGAAUUUCCACCUGUAUACGUCUUUAUGUUGCACAUACCUCCUCUUCCAAGCAGGAUGUUUUGUUUCAUUUUAAAACCAGAAAAGCCUCCUUUGGUGACAUUGAAAUUAAGAGCAUUUGAGUCACCUAGUAACACAUUGGUGAAGAACUCCCCCAAUUUCCAUUUGGAUCACACUGAAGUAUUUCCUCAGACUGGCUUUUGCUCGUAACUGCUUUUAGCCUUGCAAACUUGGCGACAGUGUCCCCAGCAGAGUCAGGGGGAUUCAAAUGAGUACCAUUCCACCUGGAUAUUGGUGGAAAGAGAACAGAGGCAAAACAAGCAGCAGACACCCAUACAGACCUAGAAACAUGAUUAUGAGAAGAAGCCAAGGAGGAGCUUUUUUUUUUUUUUGGACUAAGCAUUGACUGGUAAAAAGAGCCUACCAUAUGACUCAAAGGAAAAAUAUUACUAAGUUAUUAGCGCUAUUAAACAGAAGCUUUUAUUCUGUCAUUCCCUAUUAUAAAAAGAGUAAAAUUAUUUGCUUUGAUACAUAUAUUUCUAUGUUCUUCAUCAAAAUUCCUUUAGUCAUUUUCAAUUAAAGGUUAAUUUCUCAUCAGA